AAAUUUUUUUUUAAAAAAAAAAUUGCCUUGGUUUCGUCUUUCGUCGUGUCUUUAAUCUAUUAAGACAGUUUUUAAACUUAGUACCAAAAAUUACCAACAGGUGGCGCAUUGUCGCCAAUGAUUCUCGCUGCAAGAUACUUUACUCAGAUUUA